UUAUUUGAGAGUUUGAUCCUGGCUCAGGAUGAACGCUGGCGGCGUGCCUAACACAUGCAAGUUGAGCGAUUUACUUCGGUAAAGAGCGGCGGACGGGUGAGUAACGCGGUAACCUACCCUGUACACACGGAUAACAUACCGAAAGGUAUGCUAAUACGGGAUAAUAUAUUUGAGAGGCAUCUCUUAAAUAUCAAAGGUGAGCCAGUACAGGAUGGACCCGCGUCUGAUUAGCUAGUUGGUAAGGUAACUUACCAAGGCAACGAUCAGUAGCCGACCUGAGAGGGUGAUCGGCCACAUUGGAACUGAGACACGGUCCAAACUCCUACGGGAGGCAGCAGUGGGGAAUAUUGCACAAUGGGCGAAAGCCUGAUGCAGCAACGCCGCGUGAGUGAUGAAGGCCUUCGGGUCGUAAAACUCUGUCCUCAAGGAAGAUAAUGACGGUACUUGAGGCCCCGGCUAACUACGUGCCAGCAGCCGCGGUAAUACGUAGGGGCUAGCGUUAUCCGGAUUUACUGGGCGUAAAGGGUGCGUAGGCGGUCUUUCAAGUCAGGAGUGAAAGGCUACGGCUCAACCGUAGUAAGCUCUUGAAACUGGGAGACUUGAGUGCAGGAGAGAGUGGAAUUCCUAGUGUAGCGGUGAAAUGCGUAGAUAUUAGGAGGAACACCAGUUGCGAAGGCGGCUCUCUGGACUGUAACUGACGCUGAGGCACGAAAGCGUGGGGAGCCAGGAUUAGAUACCCUGGUAGUCCACGCUGUAAACGAUGAGUACUAGGUGUCGGGGUUACCCCUUCGGUGCCGCAGCUAACGCAUUAAGUACUCCGCCUGGAAGUACGCUCGCAAGAGUGAAACUCAAAGGAAUUGACGGGGACCCGCACAAGUAGCGGAGCAUGUGGUUUAAUUCGAAGCAACGCGAAGAACCUUACCUAAGCUUGACAUCCCAAUGACAUCUCCUUAAUCGGAGAGUUCCUUCGGGGACAUUGGUGACAGGUGGUGCAUGGUUGUCGUCAGCUCGUGUCGUGAGAUGUUGGGUUAAGUCCCGCAACGAGCGCAACCCUUGUCUUUAGUUGCCAUCAUUAAGUUGGGCACUCUAGAGAGACUGCCAGGGAUAACCUGGAGGAAGGUGGGGAUGACGUCAAAUCAUCAUGCCCCUUAUGCAGGGCUACACACGUGCUACAAUGGGUAGUACAGAGGGUUGCCAAGCCGUAGGUGGAGCUAAUCCCUUAAAGCUACUCUCAGUUCGGAUUGUAGGCUGAAACUCGCCUACAUGAAGCUGGAGUUACUAGUAAUCGCAGAUCAGAAUGCUGCGGUGAAUGCGUUCCCGGUCUUGUACACACCGCCCGUCACACCACGGGUUGGAGACGCCCGAAGCCGAUUAUCUAACCUUUUGGAAGAAGUCGUCGAAGGUGGAAUCAAUAACUGGGGUGAAGUCGUAACAAGGUAGCCGUAUCGGAAGGUGCGGCUGGAUCACCUCCUUU
rnacentral:rRNA from 1 species